GCCAUCAAUCGAUCAGGCUCGUAGUCAAAACGCGGGAACAAGAUCUGCAGUAAAAACAGGACCCGAGGCUCUCUCUUCCAGGCCGAAACGGCGUCGUUUGAGCGCACGUACCGUUGAAGGGACACGAGGAUGAAGUGCUAUUCUGGCUCUGCUGAGUGUGUGUCUUCCACUCCACAUCGAUCCAUCGACUGCAACCCGCGCUGGAAACCCGCUUGGGCCCAAAAGCUCUGUCACGGCCCAUCUUUCUUUCACUUGAUGCCUGCAGCCCGCGGCGCUGGAGUGCAGUGGGAAGGCUGCCAGCACGGCUCUGUAUUGACAGUGCACAUGCAUCACAUACAUCCGCUGUUUCUCCCUGGAUUUUUUUUUUUUUGCAGGUCAACUAACAUUAUUUCCUCACUGCCUGCAUGGGGACAAGUGACAUACAUAGCAACUCCAUUCGGUGUACCUGCAGGGUAUCUAAAGACUCUCCCUUUUUGAUAAGGUCUGAUUAUAUUCAUUGACAAAAUACAAGUGGUGUCGAGCUCAGGGACAUCAGCGGAGUCGGAAACGUGACCUUCAGUUCGCAAUUUACCAAACCACUUACUACCCGCACAGUUACUUUGCGACGAUAGAAAACCAAUAGAAAAAAACAGCUCAUACAUCAUCUGGAACGGUUCAGAAUCAAUUUGUAUUGAAUAACAUGACACGGAAAUAAAGAAAACACUUGCCAAAGAUGGUGAAUAUUCACCAUGCAUAAUAAUGUCUGCAGAUCGUUACAGAUGUAUUUUGCUAAUUAGAGUUGGUUGUGACAAGUUUUGCUCAAACCACGCUGAACCCAUCACAAUACCAGUGACCCUAAGGUCCUGUGACUGAAUCAGAACUAUGAUUGAAAGCACAAGUUCACCAGGCGGGCCCUAAACUAUACCUCGCUGACAACAAAAUCAUUUAUUUAUAUCCAAAUACUAAGUAUUUGUAUUUUCAAAAACACCGUUUCGUAUUGAGCCCAUGA